rnacentral:tRNA from 1 species
GGGAAUGUGACUCAGUGGUAGGGUGCUUGCCUUGCAUGCAUGAGGCCCUGGGUUUGAUUCCUCAGCACCA